AGAAAAUGUACUGCUGGCCAUGCCUCUUGAUGAAACCAUCUCACAGAUAUUAUAAAUUAUUAUAAUAGUAAUAAAUAUUAUAUUAUUAUUAUUAUUAUUAUUAUAUUAUUAUAUCAUUAUACUAUUAUUAGAAAUGGACCAUUUUUAUGAUGUAGGCCGAAAAUAAGCUUCCCCUCUUUGAAAGACCAGCAGCCGCCACUGUAAAAAUAGAAUAAACUCCC